rnacentral:rRNA from 1 species
GCCUACGGGGGGCAGCAGUGGGGGAUAUUGCACAAUGGGGGGAACCCUGAUGCAGCGACGCCGCGUGAGUGAAGAAGUAAUUCGUUAUGUAAAGCUCUAUCAGCAGGGAAGAAUAAAUGACGGUACCUGAGUAAGAAGCCCCGGCUAACUACGUGCCAGCAGCCGCGGUAAUACGUAGGGGGCAAGCGUUAUCCGGAUUUACUGGGUGUAAAGGGAGCGUAGACGGCGAUGCAAGCCAGAUGUGAAAGCCCGCGGCUCAACUGCGGUAGUGCAUUUGGAACUGUAUGGCUGGAGUGCAGGAGAGG